AUGGAUUCAGACACACUGCAAACCUUCCAGAGGGAGCUCUGUUGCUUUAUCUGCAGGAACUACUUAAUGGACGCAGUCACCAUUGACUGUGGGCAUAGCUUUUGCAGGCCCUGCCUUUAUCUAUGCUGGGAGAAAGGCCAAGCUCCAGCGGUCUGUCCUGUGUGUGGGAAAAUCCCCUAGAAGACUGACUUCAACACAAAUAUUGUUCUCAAGAAGUUGGCUUCUCUUGCAAGGCAGCGCAGACCUCACAACAUCAACAGCUCAGAGAAGCAGAUCUGUGUGCUACAUGAAGAGGAAAAGGGGCUCUUCUGUGAGGCAGAGGAGAGACUCCUCUGUGGGCCCUGCUCUGAGUCACCAGAGCAUGAGGCUUAUGGCCACAGCCCAAUAUGAUGGGCUGCUGAGGAGUGCAGGCAGGAGAAACUUCUGAAGAAAAUGGAUCCUUUAUGGAGGAGAACUCAAGAAAUGCAAAACAAUCUAAAUCAGGAAAUUAGCAAAAUCCAUUCAUUAACGGUAGGGAUAAAAAGGUUUUAUAUUUUUAAUGUAGAUUGGCACAAUGCUAGCUUAGACUUCUUAGCUGAAUCUCUGCAGGACUAUGUGGCCCUCAGGAAAGGGAUGAUCAGAUAUCAAUAUCAAAAGUUGCGCCAAUUUCUCCUGGAGGAGGAGCAACGCCAUCUGGAGACAAUGGACAGAGAAGCAGAAGAGAUUUUUCGACAACUCCAAAACAGUGAAGUAAGAAUAACUCAACAUAUAAAAAAGAUGAAAAACAUGUACAGAGAGCUGUGGGAGAUGUGCCACAUGCCCGAUGUGAAGCUGCACCAG
rnacentral:lncRNA from 1 species